rnacentral:lncRNA from 1 species
UGCAGAAACCAAUGGGAUAGGAUUCAAAACUAGGUGAGAAACUUGUGAGAAAUCCAACCUGGUUAUAUGUCUGAGAGGCUGCUACUGUAUCAGCAUCACAAGAUAAAGCACUCUGGUAUCACCUUGCCCAUGUCCUCCUUAGUGUCACCCAAGACAUUUGACUCUGAUACGGUAACCGAUAACUUUUCUUGCUCCACUUUGCAAUGUUUCGUUUCCUACUUCUUAUUACCUUGGGACACAAAAGUGGCAGAGUUGUUGAGAGCUGAUGACCAGAAAAGGGAGAACACUAGAGGAAAUCAGAGACAGUCAGGAAAGAACGCCAAAGCUGAUUUUCCAACUCUAUGCUAACUCCAACCUGCAGAAAGAGCUGAAUAUAGAAAUCUUCUUCAUUAUCUGAUGAAGUCACUCCGUUUAUCACACACACACACAAAUGAAUCACCUGGCUUUUUUUUUUUUUCUUUUUUAAUCCAGAAGAGUUGUGCUGGGGACCGUGCCCCGUCCUGCUGAUACAGAUCCUGAAUGGAAUCAUCAGGAAUGGCACAGUGCAGGUGUCAAAAUCAAAGUAAGGCCGCAGAAUUUUGAGAGGACCCUCCAAAUACUGAGAACUUGUGUUGCACUUCAUGUGGUCUCCUGGAUUUCUAUAUUUAUGAGAAGGGCUUCUUAUUGAUGUCCCCCAGAAUCCAGACUCAGACCUAUUCCUCCAAAAAGGUCCAAUUUUGUUGCUACAUAGUAGCAAGGGUUUAUCUUCAUGCCCACCUAGCAUUCCAGGCCCC